UUUUCGUCUAAAUCUUUUUUAGAGUUCAAAACUGCCCAGAAAGUGGUUUUAAGGCAGUUUUGAGUGUUUUUGUGUUAUUUUGAGUCUUUUGGUUUGUUUUGGUGUUUUAAGUUAUAGUUUUACAUUCUUUGAGUCUAGUUUAGUGUUUUAAACUUUGUUUUUACGGUUUUGAGUCAGUUUUCAAGUGAUUUAGCAAUCCCUCCUAAUCCCCGGCCUAGAACGAUCCCUACUUACAUACUUACUACAAUUGAUAAAAAGAGGGUUAAUUUGAGUGCUAGUUAAUAUCAUAUCAAAUCUACAAAGGUAUAAAUUUCAACUCACUUUGUUUUGAGUUGAGUUUUGGUUCACCAAUCUACUAGGCUUUGAAUUUCAUGGGUAAUGUUUUGUUUUUGAGUGCAUGCAAGCAUGAUUCCACCUUUAAUUGUUAAUUGCAUGCUAUAGAUGUUAUUCAAAUGAACAUGUUUUCACAAAAUAAUUCUUCAAGAGUAUCCUCAUGUGCGAUAGGAGCAUAUUUAUGCAACUUUGUUAGCUUGCUUCUUUGAAUUUAGUGAGUUAGUUUCUGUUUAUUAUAGUAAUUUAAGCUAUUUUCAUGUGUUUGUAGGUUCAAAUGACAAAGUUGGCAAGAAAGUGCAAUUUGGAUCAUUUUAAAGCAGUUUUGGGCCAAGAAUGGAAAACACAUGCAUAGAGCAAGGUGGAUGGACGUUUUUGAAGUUCAAGAGGCUAGGAAUAUGCUAAAGAGAUGAAGAAAAUAAAGUCAAGACAAAGAAGAUAAGGAAUCAACUAAAAGGAAGGAACAUUAUUUUAACCAACCUUAUCUUAACCAACAUUAUCCAAACUAACCUUAUCUUGUCUUAUCCUAUUCUAAUCUUAUCUUACCUUAAUUCCAGCUGCAAAGGGGAAUCAAUUUCACAUUAAAUCACCUAAAUAUCGGGUUCUAGAAGCUCUAUCCUCUGCCCUAAAUUGGUGCCGCACCCUUUUAUCCCUUUCCUUCUAGAAACCUGCCACAACCCUUUUCCAGAAGCCUAGAAACCUGUUGUGAUCCUAUUCCCUUUCCUCCUAGAUCGUACUAUCCUUCUCCUCUACAAAUUAUUGAUGUGUAAUCCUUUUCCCUUCAGAAAUUGUGCUGAACCCUAGCCAUAUAAAUACACAUCUUUGCCACAAUUUCGCAUCACACACACAAGAGCAAAAAAUCAGAAAAAUACAAUUGUGCCGCAACUUUUCAAGGAAGGAAAGAGAGGAGUCCCUUGGAGCCAUGUCUGCCAUUCAAGGAUUUAGAUUGCUGGAACUUUUCUAGGUGUAUUCUAUCCUUAGUUUUAGUUCAAUGUUUCUUUGUUUAAUUGCAAACAUGAGGAACUAAAUUUGUUUUAGCUAGAGGAGAAUUCAAAGCCAUGAACAUAUGUGUGAUAUGAAUUGAUUACAUCCAGUUAUUAUUUCAUGAAUCGUGAAUGCAAUUUACUUAUCUGUUUGAUUCAGAACUUGUUCUUGUGUGUUGAUAAAAGAUGCAGACUUAGUUUGCAUGCAGGGAUUUGAUGCUAAAAUAUAAAGGAGUUUCAUCUGAUAGUUAUGAACUUAUAUUUACAAGUAGUGAAUGUUGCUAGUCACGAUCGUGUUAAGUAAAUUCCUAGCAGGAGUAUCAUGCAGUUCAUAGUUAUAAAUGCCUUGUCAAUGCUUAUGGUUUUCAUAGAACUUAAUGAUCUUUGAUAUGUAUCUCUAUCAUGUUGUUCAUAUAGGGAACUUGAUAAGAAUAAUUUAGUUGCGUUGCUGAGUCCAAUUCAAUGAAUUUAGGAAAAUCUGAAAGUUAAUUUGUGCUUCUCACGAUUAAUUUGGGGCAUUGUCAUUCAUGGUUUAUAGGAAUAAUAACUGGAAAUCGAUUUGUAUGCAUAUGUGUCAUGUGUGGAGAAGGACCCUCUAGCUAGCCUUACACCCCUAAAAACACCCAAUUUCGUUUGUUUUCUGCAAGUUACUUAGUUUUAGUCUUAAAUUCGUCAAAACAACUCCCCUUUGGUAUUCUAAGUCUUUUUAGUUUAAUUUUGGUCCAAAUCAUCCUCUAGUUCUUGUUUUGAGUCAAUUUAACUUAGUUUUGUGUUAUUUUAGUCAGUUUGGCUUGUUUUGAGUUGUUUGAGCCUAGUUUUUAGUUUUUAAGUUCAAUUUGUGUUGAUUAGCAUCCCUAACUAAUCCCUAGCCUCGAACGAUCCAUACUUACGCAUACUACAACUAUCUUAAUAGGGUUUAAUUUGUGUGUUAUUUUUUACCACAUCAAUGUGCUAUGCCAUUAACACCGAGAGCUUGAGCUCUCGCAAACCCCACCUUAGGUAAGUAUCUAAUCCUCAAUAUUUUUUUCAUGGGUUAUAAUCUUGUUUGAGCUAUGUUUCUAUGUCGAAAUUUCAAGGGUUUAAACCUUGUUGUGAAUCUAUGCAUGCAUAUCUUCCCCGACGAUGAACUCCGACGAAAUGUCGUCGAGUUCGAAUUUGGUGGGUAUCCCCAGUACAUCAAAUUUCUCCCUCUUUGCUCUAUGAUAAAUUGGGUGAAAUGUUGAACUGCCAUUCGAGCACUGACUUCUGCAUGCACAUCCUUAUCUCUUUUCCAAUUUUCGACGAGCGUGAAUAGAUGAACUCGGGCAACCUCCGCGCAUUUCAGGCCUUUUUUUGGCCAUCUCCACACUUUUUAGGCCAUUUUCCAACCAUAUCCGGCCACUUUUUGAACUCCAAACGGUACAAUCUUGUUCUACACUUUCCUAGCUUCGCUUUGAUAUAUUAUGGGCAAAUUUUGGUUGUGAAACGACUCUGAACGAAAGGUUUGAAUCCUCUCCAGAUUUUUCGACAAAAAUCUGCAGCAAAGAAAGAAAGAGAAAAAAAGCCCAAAACCCGAACCAACCCACAGCCCAAAACCCAUGACCCAUUAACCCUAACCCGGAUAUGCGAACUGACCUAGAGUCUUUUCAAAAAAAAAAAAAAGGUCUAAGCCCAAACCUUUGGGCCUUUCUUCCAGCCCAGGCCCAUUUCUGAAAUUGGAAGGAAUAUUCCUCUUGGAAUAUUCUGUUAUCUGUUGACUUUUGUUGACUUUUUUCGAAAUUUUCUUGGAAACCCUUCUAGGCUAAUUUCGACGUCCCAAGUCCAAUUUUGACAUUCAUUUAGUAAAAUUCCAAAGUUUUAAUGUAAUUGGCCGUCGAGGCGUCUCAGUUGACUUUUAGGGUUAACCGUUUACUUUUUACAAAAUUUAUCUAAGACACCUCUUAGCGUAUUUCGAUGCUCUGAUUCCGAAUCCGCAUUCCAUUUAUGAUAGUCCGUUCUGGACUCACCUUUGUUUUUCGCAGAGUUUAGUGGCCACGAGGAAUUCAACGGUGUUCUGACAGAUCCCGAAAAAGUAGGAUUCACCCUCUGGUGUUGUAUCUUGGUAAUUGUCCUACUUGACUGCAACUAGACUUUCUUAUUGCUCUGAUAGUGUAUUUAUACACUUAAACUCUCACUAGUAUCCUUUCUUAAUUGGGAUUGUUAGUCGCUUGGUUUUAAAUUGUUAAUAUUUCUUUUACUCUUUAUCGCUUCCGCUUUGCGCUCAUGGCUACAUCACUCUCACGUGACGGGCAGCACGUCUCUACUCCGAUCGGGGUGUGUCACCAUUUUCCCAAAUUUAGUCGUUCAAGUUGAGUUAUAAUAAUAGGUCCCAAUAUAUGCUUAGGUAUGACUACUAUUGGUGACUCCAACUUUCCCAACCAGAAUGGAUGUGACAUUGCAAGUAUUUGUGAGUGAAUCUUUUGUUUUUAUGUAUAUAUAUGUAUUUUUUUCAACAACUGCUUUUAUAUAUUAUGAUGUGACAUGUCUGAUGCGUAAAAUAACUAAACACACAAAUUAAACCCUCUUGUUGACAAUUGUAGUAUGAAUAAGUAGGGAUCGUUCUCGACCGGGGAUUAGGAGGGAUUGCUAAACACUUGAAAACUGACUUAGAAACGUAAAAAACAAAGUUUAAAACACUAAAUUAGACUCAAAGAAUGCAAAACUAAAUUUUAAAACACUAAAACAAACCAAAAACUCAAAACAGUAACCAAAAGACUCAAAACUGCCUUAAAAACACUUUCUGGGCAGUUUUGAACACAAAGCACCAAAUUGGACGAAUUUGGGUUUUAACUUGUACCAAAACACUUAAAAACAUAAACCAAAACACUUCCUAACUAAUCUAGGACUUCAAAAUAAAUGGGGAUUUGAUUUGGACGAAAAUAAACUAACAAAACAGAUUGCAAAGUAAAAACAGAAUUGAAAACGAUUUUGGGGUUUUAAAUGGAUGAUGGAUUAGUUAGAGGCUCUUUCUCCACACAUGACAAGUAUG
rnacentral:lncRNA from 1 species